GACGAACGCUGGCGGCAUGCCUAAUACAUGCAAGUCGAGCGAACAGAUGGAGUGCUUGCACUUCUGACGUUAGCGGCGAACGGGUGAGUAACACGUAAGGAAUCUACCUAUAAGCGGGGGAUAACAUUCGGAAACGGGUGCUAAUACCGCAUAAUAUCUUCUUCCGCAUGGAAGAAGAUUGAAAGACGGCUCUGCUGUCACCUCUCGAUGACCUUGCGGUGCAUUAGUUAGUUGGUGGGGUAAUGGCAUACCAAGACAAUGAUGCAUAGCCGACCUGUGAGGGUGAUCGGCCACAUUGGGACUGAGACACGGCCCAAACUCAUACGGGAGGCAGGAGUAGGGAAUCUUCCGCAAUGGGCGAAAGCCUGACGGAGCAAUGCCGCGUGAGUGAAGAAGGCCUUCGGGUCGUAAAACUCUGUUAUAAGAGAAGAACAAAUUGUAGAGUAACUGCUACAGUCUUGACGGUAUCUUAUCAGAAAGCCACGGCUAACUACGUGCCAGCCGCCGCAGUAA
rnacentral:rRNA from 1 species